GGGCCCGCACAAGCGGUGGAGUAUGUGGUUUAAUUCGAUGCAACGCGAAGAACCUUACCUGGGCUCUAAUGCGAGUGACCGCUCCUGAAAGGGAGCUUUCCUUCGGGACACGAAGCAAGGUGCUGCAUGGUUGUCGUCAGCUCGUGCCGUGAGGUGUUGGGUUAAGUCCCGCAACGAGCGCAACCCCUAUCUUUAGUUGCCAGCGAUUCGGUCGGGGACUCUAGAGAGACUGCCUGCGCAAGCAGAGAGGAAGGCGGGGACGACGUCAAAUCAUCAUGGCCUUUAUGCCCAGGGCUACACACGUGCUACAAUGGUAAGGACAAAGGGCAGCGAGCCGGCGACGGUCAGCGAAUCCCAAAAACCUUAUCUCAGUUCGGAUUGGAGUCUGCAACUCGACUCCAUGAAGCUGGAAUCGCUAGUAAUCGUAGGUC
rnacentral:rRNA from 1 species